AGAGUUUGAUCAUGGCUCAGAUUGAACGCUGGCGGCAUGCCUUACACAUGCAAGUCGAACGCGAAAGGGGGCAACCCCGAGUAGAGUGGCGAACGGGUGAGCAAUACAUCGGAACAUUUCCUGUAGCGGGGGACAACCCCGAGAAAUCGGGGCUAAUACCGCAUACGAUCUACGGAUGAAAGUGGGGGACCGCAAGGCCCCACACUAUAGGAGUGGCCGAUGCCGGAUUAGCUAGUUGGUGGGGUAACGGCCUACCAAGGCGACGAUCCGUAGCUGGUUUGAGAGAACGACCAGCCACACUGGGACUGAGACACGGCCCAGACUCCUACGGGAGGCAGCAGUGGGGAAUUUUGGACAAUGGGCGAAAGCCUGAUCCAGCCAUGCCGCGUGAGUGAAGAAGGCCUUCGGGUUGUAAAGCUCUUUCGGCGGGGACGAAAUAGCGCGGGGUAAUAUCCCGCGUCGAUGACGGUACCCGAAGAAGAAGGACCGGCUAACUACGUGCCAGCAGCCGCGGUAAUACGUAGGGUCCAAGCGUUAAUCGGAAUUACUGGGCGUAAAGCGUGCGUAGGCGGUUUCGCAAGUCCGAUGUGAAAUCCCCGGGCUUAACCUGGGAACUGCGUUGGAAACUACGAAGCUAGAGUGCGGCAGAGGGGGGUGGAAUUCCAGGUGUAGCAGUGAAAUGCGUAGAGAUCUGGAGGAACACCGAUGGCGAAGGCAGCCCCCUGGACUAGCACUGACGCUCAUACACGAAAGCGUGGGGAGCAAACAGGAUUAGAUACCCUAGUAGUCC
rnacentral:rRNA from 1 species